GACGAACGCUGGCGGCGUGCUUAACACAUGCAAGUCGAACGGAAAGGCCCUGCUUGCAUGGUACUCUAGUGGCGAACGGGUGAGUAACACGUGGGUGCUUUGCCCUCCACUUCAUGAUAAGCCGGGAAAACUGGGUCUAUUACCGGAUAGCAGCCAUUCUUAUUGUGAUGGUUGGAAAGUUUUUUGGGUGUAGUAUUAGGUCGCGGGCUAUCUGCUUGUUGUUGGGUUAAUGGCCUACUAAGGCGGCGACGGGUCGCCGGCCCGAGGGGGUGGACGGCCACAAUGGGAAUGAGACUAGGGCCAGACUCCGACGGGAGGAAGGAGUGGGGAAUAAUGCACAAUGGGAGCAAGGCUGAUGGAAGGACGCCGGGUGGGGGAUGACGGCCCUCGGGUUGUAAACGCCUUUCGCUAGGUACGAAGCUUUUAGUGACGGUACCUAGAGAAGAAGCACCGGCUAACUACGUG
rnacentral:rRNA from 1 species